rnacentral:snRNA from 1 species
GUGCUUAUUUCAGCAGUGCCCAAACUAAAAUUGGAACAAUACAGAUAAGAUUAGCAUGGCCUCUCUACAAGGAUGACAUAAAUUCAUGAAGUAUUCCAUAUUUUA